rnacentral:lncRNA from 1 species
CACCAAACCACUACAUGAAGCAUAAGCCCAUAAAAUACAGCACAGAUCACUACCUUUACUGCCUAGUGCACAUCAUGCUGUUUUCCUUCUGUGUGAGCAGGUAUCAAGAAGCAGAGUUAAGGCUAGAAACAUGGAGAUCAUUUUCUUUCACUGCGUUAUAUCUGCAGAUGUACACUGAACACUCCUUUAUAUAUCUUUAUCAAUUCAUGUGUAUCUAUUUCUUUUUAUAUAAAUGGGGAAGGCUCACACAUACCCACCAGAAGUCUUACAGCAUGAAGAAAAGAAUGAAGCAAGGAACGAAGCAAAAAUCUCUGAGAGAGACAAAUGACAAUGGCAUCUGCGUUGCUGCUGAGAUACGAAAGUCAACACAACCUGAUACAAAAUGGUGA